CAGAACGCGUCCGUUCGUCAUUCCGCGUUUUAGCAGAUGCUUCCGCGCGAUAACGCCCACGUUCGUCGGUGCAUCGGCGAAAUCGUUGGGUGCAAUCGUGUGUGCACCGGUAGACCGAGCAGACGUCUCGAGGCGCGUUGGAAACGGGUUUCCAUCCGACGUGCAACGCAGAAAGAGAAUCGCACGGAGACCUUCCAUCGGAAGGGAGAAAGAAAGGUGGACGUGCACGGCGUGCGCAACAGUCGAUGGUCGACCGAUAAGAUAAAGGAUGGUACAAUCGAUAGCGAUUAAACCUCGAGAGGCUCGUAUCGGACACGAGAUGAUUGAAAAUGUGCGUAUCAGUCGUUAACGAUACAUUUCGUUUGGAGUAGCGUUAUUAGCCCGGCUUUCACGACUCUCCGAGCGCACCGUGGUACAUUGUCUUCCGUUUCACGUUUCAGGGAACGCACGUCGCAGCCGACGGAGGCAAUUUCGGUUUCGACCGUGUCACGGAACCUGGCCUUUAAAUUUCGGGAUAAGAUUCCUCGCGGAAUAUGAAUGUCUUUUGUCUGACUGUGGGAAUCCUCGAUGCGGUGUCAGUCGCCCCGGGUAAUUUACGGAAAUACUCGCGGGAAACCCAGCUACCGAGAUCUAACUGUAUUCAGUCUCGGUACGACGAUGACGAAGGUUUUUGCGACGCGUCCAACUGUGCGCAGUGGGAAGCACGAAUGCGAAUUCAUUUAUUUCGUUGCGCAAAGAAAUUAACACUUCGACGACCGCUUCUUUUAGUCAUCCUCGAUUUUUACAGCCGCGAUUCACUGCGCGGGAUCCGAGUCGAACAAAGUACCUUCUCUGGCGAGGGCGUAUCGCGUCCACAAAAAAGAAAAAAAAAGAGAGAGA